AGAAACUCCCUAAUAAGUCACACUAUCAAAGUUUUCCAGUCGAUCGGCGAACUAACCGGCAAACAAAUUUGCGUCAUUGGGUUGACUGGCAGAACCCGAGGCUUCAACUUGUCCAUAUGAAAGAUUGAAAGGGAAAUUGUCAUUUGAAUGAGCCAUUGUAAUUUUUUUCGAAAUUUUUUUCUCAAACUGAAAGAAAUCUACUGGCUGAAAAUCUGUCCACGCUCACCGCACCAAUUGUUGAGUAAUUUACUGUU
rnacentral:lncRNA from 1 species